rnacentral:misc_RNA from 1 species
CAGAGUUGAAAAACUCCCAAACCCCUUGUGAAUCUACCUAUCGUUGCUUCGGCAGGCGGCCCCUGGGAGGGGCUGUAGCCUUUCGGGGUGCCUGCCGGAGGUAUGAAACUCUAUAUCUACUGUAUUCUGAGCAUAAAUUAAAUAAGUCA